rnacentral:misc_RNA from 1 species
GAUAGAGAAGAAGGAAGAUGGUCCAGGGCCGAGGUGUGGGCAUACGUUAACGGCUGUACCAGCUGUUGGUGAAGAAGGUUCUCCUAAUUAUAUUGGUCCAAGGCUUAUUCUUUUUGGUGGUGCUACUGCUCUUGAGGGAAAUUCUGCUGCUUCUGGAACUCCGUCAUCUGCUGGAAGUGCUGGAAUUCGCUUAGCAGGGGCUACUGCUGAUGUGCACUGUUAUGAUGUUUUCACGAAUAAAUGGUCUAGGAUCACUCCCAUUGGGGAGCCACCCACACCAAGGGCUGCACAUGUUGCUACAGCUGUGGGAACUAUGGUUGUUAUUCAGGGUGGAAUCGGUCCAGCUGGUUUGUCAGCUGAGGAUCUUCACGUUCUGGACCUUACUCAACAACGGCCAAGAUGGCACAGGGUUGUGGUGCAAGGACCUGGUCCAGGUCCGCGUUAUGGACACGUCAUGGCUUUGGUAGGGCAAAGAUAUCUCAUGGCAAUUGGCGGAAAUGAUGGAAAAAGGCCUCUAGCGGACGUUUGGGCUUUGGACACGGCUGCCAAGCCAUAUGAAUGGCGGAAGUUGGAACCAGAGGGUGAAGGUCCACCUCCUUGCAUGUAUGCAAC